UACGUAGGGGGCAAGCGUUGUCCGGAAUUAUUGGGCGUAAAGAGCGCGUAGGCGGUCCGGUAAGUCGGUUGUGAAAGUCGGGGGCUCAACCCUCGGAUGCCGAUCGAUACUGUCGGGCUAGAGUCCGGAAGAGGCGAGUGGAAUUCCUGGUGUAGCGGUGAAAUGCGUAGAUAUUGGGAAGAACACCUGAGGCGAAGGCGGGUUGCUGGGCCGACACUGACGCUGAGGCGCGAAAGCCAGGGGAGCGAACGGG
rnacentral:rRNA from 1 species